GAUGAACGCUGGCGGCGUGCCUAAUACAUGCAAGUCGAGCGAACGGACGAGAAGCUUGCUUCUCUGAUGUUAGCGGCGGACGGGUGAGUAACACGUGGAUAACCUACCUAUAAGACUGGGACAACUUCGGGAAACCGGAGCUAAUACCGGAUAAUAUUUUGAACCGCAUGGUUCAAAAGUGAAAGACGGUCUUGCUGUCACUUAUAGAUGGAUCUGCGCUGCAUUAGCUAGUUGGUAAGGUAACGGCUUACCAAGGCAACGAUGCAUAGCCGACCUGAGAGGGUGAUCGGCCACACUGGAACUGAGACACGGUCCAGACUCCUACGGGAGGCAGCAGUAGGGAAUCUUCCGCAAUGGGCGAAAGCCUGACGGAGCAACGCCGCGUGAGUGAUGAAGGUCUUCGGAUCGUAAAACUCUGUUAUUAGGGAAGAACAUAUGUGUAAGUAACUGUGCACAUCUUGACGGUACCUAAUCAGAAAGCCACGGCUAACUACGUG
rnacentral:rRNA from 1 species